rnacentral:tRNA from 1 species
GUCCCGGUAGCUCAGCAGGAUAGAGCGGCGGUUUCCUAAACCGCAGGUCGGGGGUUCGAGUCCCUUCCGGGACGCCA